rnacentral:rRNA from 1 species
GCGGGAAAAGCUCAAAUUUAAAAUCUGGCAGUCUUCUGGCUGUCCGAGUUGUAAUCUGGAGAAGCGUUUUCCGUGUUAGACCGUGCACAAGUCUCCUGGAACGGAGCGUCAUAGAGGGUGAGAAUCCCGUUUAUGGCACGGACCACUAAUACUUUGUGAUACGCUCUCGAAGAGUCGAGUUGUUUGGGAAUGCAGCUCAAAAUGGGUGGUAAAUUCCAUCUAAAGCUAAAUACAGGCGAGAGACCGAUAGCGAACAAGUACCGUGAGGGAAAGAUGAAAAGCACUUUGGAAAGAGAGUUAAACAGUACGUGAAAUUGUUGAAAGGGAAACGCUUGAAGUCAGUCGCGUUGUGCAGAACUCAGCCUUGCCUCGGCUUGGUGUACUUUCUGUACAACGGGUCAACAUCAAUUUUGGCCCAUGGAGAAAGGUAGGGGGAAGGUAGCGUUGUCUCGGCAGCGUGUUAUAGCCCCUUACUGUAUACAUGGGCUGGGAUUGAGGAAUGCAGCAUGCCCUUGUGGCCGGGGGCUUCGGCCUUACGAACCAUGCUUCGGAUGUUGGCAGAAUGGCUUUAAGCGACCCGUCUUGAAACACGGACCAAGGAGUCUAACAUGCUUGCGAGUGUUCGGGUGGAAAACCCUGCGCGGAAUGAAAGUGAAAGUUGGGAACCUCCGCAAGGGGGUGCACCGACGCCCGGCCCUGACGUUCUCUGACGGUGCUGCGGUAGAGCAAGUAUGCUGGGACCCGAAAGAUGGUGAACUAUGCCUGAAUAGGGCGAAGCCAGAGGAAACUCUGGUGGAGGCUCGUAGCGAUUCUGACGUGCAAAUCGAU